rnacentral:rRNA from 1 species
UACGUAGGCAGCAAGCGUUGUUCGGAGUUACUGGGCGUAAAGGGUGUGUAGGCGGUUCUUUAAGUUUGGUGUGAAAUCUCCCGGCUCAACCGGGAGGGUGCGCCGAAUACUGAGGGACUAGAGUGCGGGAGAGGAAAGUGGAAUUCCUGGUGUAGCGGUGAAAUGCGUAGAUAUCAGGAGGAACACCGGUGGCGAAGGCGGUUCUCUGGGCAUGUCCUGACGCUGAGGAGCGAAAGUGUGGGGAGCGAACAGG